UCUCAGACCUGUUGUUCAGAACACGGCUCUUUGCUUUCCCGUGUCGUCGGCGGUUUGUCAAACGUGAUCAGAGAGGCUCUUCUGUGUGUUCAGCAGGACGUGUCCUUUGUCACUGCUGUGAGUGAGAGGUGACAUGAGCUGCUGCAGAUUAAUAGAUAAGCCUGUUAAAGGUGAAGUCUGCAGACUGCAUUAUAACCCGUCUGCAUGGAGACGGAAACCUGCAGCUGCUCUGUGGAGAAAUGAGGCAAUCCUUUCAGACUUAAUGUUAUUCUCACCAGGAGUUUUACAGACAGAGCUUUAUCUUUGUGUCACAAAUACAAUGACAUUUAUAACUGAGGUGACAUGGUUGCUGGAGCCUAUCCUAGUGACGGUUGAGCAAAGGUGGAGCCUGCACAGGUUUAGAGGAAGACCAAAGAGAAGAUCCAUGGAGGCAGUGAUGGAGGACAUGAGGAUGUAAAUGGAGGCGGAUGACUCGCUGUGACGGCCCCUAAAGAGAGAAGCCAAAUGACAGACAGAAGAAGCAUUUUGGAAAAAGUU